GAUGAACGCUGGCGGCGUGCCUAAUACAUGCAAGUCGAACGAGGUGCUUUUGUAGCAAUACGAAAGUAUCCUAGUGGCGAACGGGUGAGUAACGCGUUGGUGACCUACCCCAAAGUGUGGGAUAACAGUCCGAAAGGAUUGCUAAUACCGCAUGUGGUCAUCGGGUUUAGAAACCGAUGUCUAAAGGAGCAAUUCGCUUUGGGAGGGACCUGCGUCCCAUCAGCUAGUUGGUGAGGUAACGGCUCACCAAGGCGACGACGGGUAGGGGACCUGAGAGGGUGGCCCCCCACAAUGGAACUGAAACACGGUCCAUACACCUACGGGUGGCAGCAGUAGGGAAUAUUGCACAAUGGGCGAAAGCCUGAUGCAGCAACGCCGCGUGUGCGAUGAAGGCCUUCGGGUCGUAAAGCACUUUUCUGAGAGAUGAGAAAGGACAGUAUCUCAGGAAUAAGUCUCGGCUAACUACGUGCCAGCAGCCGCGGUAAAACGUAGGAGGCAAGCGUUAUCCGGAUUCACUGGGCGUAAAGCGCGUGCAGGCGGUUCGGUAAGUUGGGCGUGAAAUCUCCCGGCUCAACUGGGAGAGGUCGUUCAAUACUACCGGGCUUGAGAGCAGA
rnacentral:rRNA from 1 species